UAGCACAAGGUUAAUUUCCAGAAGAAGCC
rnacentral:piRNA from 1 species